rnacentral:rRNA from 1 species
UUCGCAAUGCCCGAAAGGGUGACGAAGCGACGCCGCGUGUGGGAAGAAGGCCUUCGGGUUGUAAACCACUGUCGGGAGUUAAGAAGUGUAGGGGGGUUAAUAGUCUCCUUACUUGACGUUAGCUCCGGAGGAAGCCACGGCUAACUCUGUGCCAGCAGCCGCGGUAAUACAGAGGUGGCAAGCGUUGUUCGGAAUUAUUGGGCGUAAAGAGCACGUAGGCGGCCCUGCAAGUCAGCUGUGAAAUCCUUCUGCUCAACGGAAGAACGGCAGUUGAUACUAUAGGGCUCGAGUGCGGGAGGGGAGAGUGGAACUUCUGGUGGAGCGGUGAAAUGCGUAGAUAUCAGAAGGAACAUCGGCGGCGAAGGCGACUCUCUGGCCCGUAACCGACGCUGAGGUGCGAAAGCUAGGGGAGCAAACGGGAUUAGAUACCCCGGUAGUCCUAGCCGUGAACGAUGGGCACUAAGUAGAGGGGUU